rnacentral:rRNA from 1 species
UACGGAGGAUCCGAGCGUUAUCCGGAUUUAUUGGGUUUAAAGGGAGCGUAGGUUGACGUAUAAGUCAGCUGUGAAAGUUUACGGCUCAACCGCGAAAUUGCAGUUAAUACUGUAUGUCUUGAGUGUACAAGAGGUGGGCGGAAUUCGUGGUGUAGCGGUGAAAUGCUUAGAUAUCACGAAGAACUCCAAUUGCGAAGGCAGCUCACUGGGGUACAACUGACACUGAGGCUCGAAAGUGUGGGUAUCAAACAGGAUUAGAUACCCUGGUAGUCCACACAGUAAACGAUGAAUACUCGCUGUUUGCGAUAUACAGUAAGCGGCCAAGCGAAAGCAUCAAGUAUUCCACCUGGGGAGUACGCCGGCAACGGUGAA